rnacentral:rRNA from 1 species
GGUCAAGCUAUUAAGGGCGCACGGGGGAUGCCUUGGCACCAGAAGCCGAUGAAGGGCGUGGCUAGACUGCGAAAAGCCACGGUUAGCUGUCCAGCGAGCUUAGCCGUGGAUUCCCGAAUUGGGUAACCAGCCUGCGCGAGCAGGAGCCCGGAUUAAUCCGGGGGGUAAGCGGGGGAACUGAAACAUCUAAGUACCCCGAGGAAAAGAAA